ensembl:lncRNA
AGGGGAGUCCAUGACUUAAGAGAAGAGAGAUGCUAAGUUCUGGAUUUGACACCGUGGAGGAGAGAGGGAGAUGGUGGGGGGGGUCCAUGAUUGAAGAGAAGAGAGAUGCUAAGUUCUGGAUUUGACACUGUGGAGGAGAGAUGGAGGAGAGGGGAGAUUUGGUUGUAUAGAAAAGGCCUGGACUGGACUGGAUGUAAAUUGCUGCUGUUUUGUUUAGUAUUUUCUUUUUGCUCUGUAGAUGUUUUUUAUUUUGAUGUUGGUAUCUAUCUCGGUGAGAAGGGCAGCAGAUCAGUAUGGAGUCACCACCAUUCAGAAACCAGAGUACCUCUGACAUUAUGGAAUCACCCUCCACUCUCUCCUGCUCACCCCAUCGCUACAUCGCUACAUCGCUACAUCGUUGGGCGUGACGAUGCCAAAGGACCAAUAGACGACACCCGGCCACACCUCACUAAGAAUGAUCCACAUUGGGAUCAGGUUCUACAUGUAUAAUGCAGGAACUAUGAACUAAUGGAGAACUGCAAUACCCAAUAGCUUCCAUGUAGUCCACACUACUUCAUAGAAACUGGAGGAGAAAUCCGAGCCACAAUGGUACAACAACUAUCAUUAAGACCAGCUACUUCAAUGAAGAGACUGACGGUUGAUUGGAGCAGGAUGUCCUGUGACUGUUCUCCACUCAGCCACAUCAAGCAUCAGUCACGUCAAGUCAUCUGCUCUGCCACGACUUUGAAUCAACCAACAGUCAGAGAGUCGUGAUACCGAGGGACUUGACAUGCUAAAGCCUCUUAUGUAAAAAAACAAAAACAAGGGCCUUGUCAGCUCAGUGCCCAUCGAGACCAACCAAUGACUUGACCAAUCACAGAGCCCCAUUUGCAAUAUGAAUAGCAGCAAAUGAUACAUCCCCCAUGUUUCAUGUUAGAGGGAUUAGAGUCCAACUCAAGUAUUAUGGGAGAGUGAGGGUUACAUAUUCUCUCUGAUGUUUGCUCUGCUUUGCUGUGGUCCUCUCCGCAGGGUAACAUACGUUUCUUCUUGUUAACAGACCAAAAACAUUUUGGUCAUAUUCUGGAUUUGACGUAGGUGGUAGUGGGGACUAAUAAGGAGUGGACAUCAGUUAAGGGACUUAGUCUAGGGAGGGAGAUAUUUGUGGCACGCAAGAUGGAGGAUUUAAAAUCAAACUUGACUUGAGCCAACGUUCAAGUGAACUUGUAAGCCUGGGGCAUAUUCAUGAGUUAUGAAAUGGAAACAAACAGGUUGAAACAGGGUGGAAUUUUCCCAAUAAGAGACAGUUGUUGUCUUUUUCUGUUGCAAAACAUUUUGCUACGGUGUACACUAAUGAAUAACACCUAGGUUUUGGGGAGAAGUCAGACAUGUUGCUCUCAAAACACAGUAUAUCCUUCAUUAAAUGUCAUAUUUAUGGUACAUUAUUAACAUACUGCAAGAAUAUAUAGCACAUUAAAUAAAAGUAUCACAAAAGUAUCACCUUUGCCCAAGCCCCUGUAAAUAACAUUGUAUAAAAAAAAGAUGAAUAAAAAAAACUAAAAACCAAACUAGUUGAGGUGUUUGUACGUAUGCUGAGAGAGAGAGGUAGACAGCAGAGUGCAGUAUAACACACACACACAGACACAGACACACACACACACACACACACACACACACACACACACACACACACACACACACACACACACACACACACACACACACACACACACACAGACACACACACACACACAGACACACACACACACACAGACACACACACACACACGCACACACACACACACACAU